UACGUAGGGUGCGAGCGUUGUCCGGAAUUAUUGGGCGUAAAGAGCUUGUAGGCGGUUUGUCGCGUCUGCUGUGAAAACCCGAGGCUCAACCUCGGGCCUGCAGUGGGUACGGGCAGACUAGAGUGCGGUAGGGGAGAUUGGAAUUCCUGGUGUAGCGGUGGAAUGCGCAGAUAUCAGGAGGAACACCAAUGGCGAAGGCAGAUCUCUGGGCUGUAACUGACGCUGAGGAGCGAAAGCGUGGGUAGCGAACAGG
rnacentral:rRNA from 1 species